rnacentral:lncRNA from 1 species
CACAAACAAUUAACCAGUAAUUCAUGCCAAGCCAGACAACAUACAAAAUCGGGUUCUCAGUCAUUCAACCCAUAAUUAAUAAAACAGUGAUAUAUGCACACGAAACUAUGAAAUGAAAACAUCAGACCUCAUACUGCAUUUAAAACUGUAAAAUAGGCCAAACAACAGCUGACCGACAAAUACACCAGACUCGGGCUCCAUUAGCAACCUUAAACAAUUUCACACACCUAUUGAUUCAUGAAAUACCGUUUUAUCAUUUAUUGAACUUUAAUACCGUGAUAGAAAAUAGGGUGAUGGGUCCUUACUUGUUUC